AGAAAUAUGCUAUCCUUGGAGGAUGUGAGUGGACACCAGGGAACCUGUUCUUAAGGGUUCUCCCAGAAGUAUGACACUGUACAAACUUGGCCUUAUCUCCCAAUGGGUGUCUGUCAUCUACCCAAGUUGGAGAAAGGUGAAUUCACAAAGGGGAGGGCCCUAGGUCUCUGCUCUGAUCCCAGACGUGGUUUGGCUGACCUCUACUGGAGUUCUAGAUUGCCACCAUUCAGCUCCACCCGAGGGAACCCAGGUACUCCGGACGUUUCCAACACAUAAGGUCAACUUCCAGCCUGGACGUGUUCAUUUUGGAACUGAUACACUUUUGCCUAAGAUCAGGAAAAAACAAAUACAAAACCGGCAGCCCAAACUCAAGCUUAGGAUGGCAGCACCAACCUGGAAGCAGCUCAAAACAGCACUGACAAGCUUCUUAGCCAGAAGGGAAAAGGGAAGCCGAAGCUGGAGGCCUCCCUGUGAAAUUUCAGCAGAGUUUUUCUGAUGCUAGCCAAUAACAAGACUCUUUAUUAAACCAUGGUGUUAGCCCUUUAACUUUGAGUCAGUCACUCAUGGGCAGAAGCCAAACUCAAAACUUCCAUGCAGUCUCCCUGAACCAAGAAGCAUUUGUGGUCCUUAGAAUGGCCUUCUUUACGAAAUAAUCUCCUUUGCUCUUAACGGAUUGUCUCUAUCAGUAAAGAGGCAGCCUGUUUCCUUGCAUGAAUGUGCAGAUCCAUUUCAGAAUCUAUGAAUACCUUCUUUUCUAUUCUCUUCUUGGGUGUGUGUCUGCCAUAUAUGUGCCUGCUUCUGC